AUUGAACGCUGGCGGCAUGCCUUACACAUGCAAGUCGAGCGGCAGCGCGGGGGCAACCCUGGCGGCGAGCGGCGAACGGGUGAGUAAUACAUCGGAACGUGUCCAGUAGCGGGGGAUAACCUGUCGAAAGAUAGGCUAAUACCGCAUACGACCUACGGGUGAAAGCGGGGGACCGCAAGGCCUCGCACUAUUGGAGCGGCCGAUGUCGGAUUAGCUAGUUGGCGGGGUAACGGCCCACCAAGGCGACGAUCCGUAGCUGGUCUGAGAGGACGACCAGCCACACUGGAACUGAGACACGGUCCAGACUCCUACGGGAGGCAGCAGUGGGGAAUUUUGGACAAUGGGCGCAAGCCUGAUCCAGCCAUGCCGCGUGAGUGAAGAAGGCCUCGG
rnacentral:rRNA from 1 species